GAUGAACGCUGGCGGCGUGCUUAACACAUGCAAGUCGAACGGUGAAACAGGAGCUUGCUCCUGUGGAUCAGUGGCGAACGGGUGAGUAACACGUGAGUAACCUGCCCUUGACUCUGGGAUAAGCGUUGGAAACGACGUCUAAUACCGGAUACGAGCUUCAGUCGCAUGGCUAGGAGCUGGAAAGAAUUUCGGUCAAGGAUGGACUCGCGGCCUAUCAGCUAGUUGGUGAGGUAACGGCCCACCAAGGCGACGACGGGUAGCCGGCCUGAGAGGGUGACCGGCCACACUGGGACUGAGACACGGCCCACGACUCCUACGGGAGGCAGCAGUGGGGAAUAUUGCACAAUGGGCGCAAGCCUGAUGCAGCAACGCCGCCGUGA
rnacentral:rRNA from 1 species